CCGGAGCAAUGGAUGCAGGAAAAGAGAUUCCCCUAAACAUCAGGAAGGCUUCCUGACACACCAACAGAAUCUUACAAUACAGUAAUUGUGGGAAAGAAUGACAAAAAGCAGCAGUCGCUUACACCUAUGCAACAAUUGUGAUGGAACAGCUCCUAUUUCAAAUCCUCAAAAAGUGUAUAUAAAGAACAAAAGAAAGAAAAUCUGAGACUGGAAAUGAAGUACAAAAACAACAACAAACAACAGCUUUAAAAAAAAAUCUGAUGAAAUUAUUCAUUUAGACCUGACACAGCAUUUUUAAAUCUAAUUCCAG